rnacentral:rRNA from 1 species
AUCGAACGCUGGCGGCAGGCCUAACACAUGCAAGUCGAGCGGAUGAAGGGAGCUUGCUCCUGGAUUCAGCGGCGGACGGGUGAGUAAUGCCUAGGAAUCUGCCUGGUAGUGGGGGAUAACGUCCGGAAACGGGCGCUAAUACCGCAUACGUCCUGAGGGAGAAAGUGGGGGAUCUUCGGACCUCACGCUAUCAGAUGAGCCUAGGUCGGAUUAGCUAGUUGGUGGGGUAAAGGCCUACCAAGGCGACGAUCCGUAACUGGUCUGAGAGGCUGAUCAGUCACACUGGAACUGAGACCCGGUCAAGACUCCUACGGGAGGCAGCAGUGGGGAAUAUUGGACAAUGGGCGAAAUCCUGAUCCAGCCAUGCCGCGUGUGUGAGGAAGGUCUUCGGAUUGUAAAGCACUUUAAGUUGGGAGGAAGGGCAGUAAGUUAAUACCUUGCUGUUGUGACGGUACCAACAGAAUAAGCACCGGCUAACUACGUG